UACGGAGGGUGCAAGCGUUAAUCGGAAUUACUGGGCGUAAAGCGCACGCAGGCGGUCUGUCAAGUCGGAUGUGAAAUCCCCGGGCUCAACCUGGGAACUGCAUCCGAAACUGGCAGGCUAGAGUCUUGUAGAGGGGGGUAGAAUUCCAGGUGUAGCGGUGAAAUGCGUAGAGAUCUGGAGGAAUACCGGUGGCGAAGGCGGCCCCCUGGACAACGACUGACGCUCAGGUGCGAAAGUGUGGGGAGCAAACAGGAUUAGAUACCCUGGUAGUCCACGCCGUAAACGAUGUCGACUUGGAGGUGGUGGCCUUGAGGCGUGGCUGCCGGAGCGAACGCGUUAAGUCGACCGCCUGGGGAGUACGGCCGCAAGGUUAAA
rnacentral:rRNA from 1 species